AAUAUAUCCAGAGUGACGGGGAAGGAACUAGCCUUGCGAUCCGUCCAGCAACCCCGAGUGAAACGAGGGGUGCUAAUUCUAGCCCUGACGGGAAAGAUAAGCC
rnacentral:ncRNA from 2 species